rnacentral:rRNA from 2 species
UCGAGCGGAUGAGUGGAGCUUGCUCCAUGAUUCAGCGGCGGACGGGUGAGUAAUGCCUAGGAAUCUGCCUGGUAGUGGGGGACAACGUUUCGAAAGGAACGCUAAUACCGCAUACGUCCUACGGGAGAAAGUGGGGGAUCUUCGGACCUCACGCUAUCAGAUGAGCCUAGGUCGGAUUAGCUAGUUGGUGAGGUAAAGGCUCACCAAGGCGACGAUCCGUAACUGGUCUGAGAGGAUGAUCAGUCACACUGGAACUGAGACACGGUCCAGACUCCUACGGGAGGCAGCAGUGGGGAAUAUUGGACAAUGGGCGAAAGCCUGAUCCAGCCAUGCCGCGUGUGUGAAGAAGGUCUUCGGAUUGUAAAGCACUUUAAGUUGGGAGGAAGGGCAGUAAGUUAAUACCUUGCUGUUUUGACGUUACCGACAGAAUAAGCACCGGCUAACUUCGUGCCAGCAGCCGCGGUAAUACGAAGGGUGCAAGCGUUAAUCGGAAUUACUGGGCGUAAAGCGCGCGUAGGUGGUUCGUUAAGUUGGAUGUGAAAGCCCCGGGCUCAACCUGGGAACUGCAUCCAAAACUGGCGAGCUAGAGUAUGGCAGAGGGUGGUGGAAUUUCCUGUGUAGCGGUGAAAUGCGUAGAUAUAGGAAGGAACACCAGUGGCGAAGGCGACCACCUGGGCUAAUACUGACACUGAGGUGCGAAAGCGUGGGGAGCAAACAGGAU